rnacentral:rRNA from 1 species
UACGUAGGGUGCAAGCGUUAAUCGGAAUUACUGGGCGUAAAGCGUGCGCAGGCGGUUUUGUAAGUCAGAUGUGAAAAUCCCCCGGGCUUAACCUGGGAACUGCGUUUGAAACUACAAGGCUAGAGUGUGGCAGAGGGGGGGUGGAAUUCCACGUGUAGCAGUGAAAUGCGUAGAGAUGUGGAGGAACACCGAUGGCGAAGGCAGCCCCCCUGGGUCAAGAUUGACGCUCAUGCACGAAAGCGUGGGGAGCAAACAGG